UCGGCAUCCUUGACAGGAGCUCAAUCUUGCGGGGGCAUGAUAACAGAGAGAUUUCUCCAACUGCACGAGAAAAUCUCGUUGCUCAAUUGAAAAAAAUCCUCUCUUUCAUCAUGUAUAAAUAGACACCAUAUGACACUAAUUGAAGUAUUUUUUUUUCCUUUACUCUUCGUUCUCUAUUCUAUCACAGACCAUUAAGACUAGGAGAUGAUUUGGACCUUCAAGUACUUGUAGAGGCCUUUGCAUUGGAUGAUGAUCCGCUAAAGGAGAGAAGAGGGAUGAUCUACCAUAGGAGACAAGAUACAAUCUCCUUCCUACAUCUGAGUCACUUGCUGUUGUUUCUUCUCCGGUCCUCCAUUGAUCGAGGCUAAUUAACCCACAAGAAUCCCUACUGGCAACAAGAAAGAUCAUUUCCACUGGGUGCCAAAAGUCUGUGAAUUUUCGGUGUGCACAGGUCUUGCAUGUGGAGACUGGCACGAUACAGCUAAUAAUAGAGGGCCAGUCUCCAAUAAUUGAAGCUACCUACCGCGAUCUGUGGCGAUGAAGUUUUUGCCUCUGCAAGCCUCUUCUUAUUGAGAUCUCUUUCCCCUCUGUGCUGGAGAAAGGAUAAGUCCUUCGCUGAGAUGUGGUCGAGAUGUUGGGAGCCUGGUUGAGAAGGCCUGCGAUUAUGCAGUCCUAUGGGGAACAGCAACGAGUUGGAUCUGAUCUACGCCCGCUAAGGACUUCUUUUUUGUCGAGACGAAGCUCAUCAUCAGCACAGCCGGAAAUAUGUGGAUCAAAGAUGAGAAGAUGAAAGGGAGCCUGGAGUAAUUUCUGAUGCAAUUCAAGGACGUCGCUUAUGAUGCUUGCGAUUUGCUGGACGAGUUCCGCUACCAAAUUCAUUCUGCUACUGAGCGACGAAGAGAUGAGAUCAAGAUGUUUUAAGAUUUGGAUCUGUGUAUCGAGAAUCUGCAAACUUAGAGAAGUGCGACAUUGACAGCCGCAGAUGGAAGAGCCUUUGUAUCAGCCGCAAAUGGGACAGCAAUCUCAUGAAGCCUUCUGCCGUCCAGAUCUGGAUCGCCCCAUGUCUAUAAAAAGAGAAAGAAAUCUUUGGGAAACACGGAUCAAAAAGCUGAACACUUGUCAAGGCACUGAUAGCUCAGCCGCAGCACAGGCAAAAGCUUGUUUGUCUUCGUUCACGACUGAUGACAACAAAGAUUCCGAGGGGUUUUGCUGCAAGUGGACAGCCCUUCAACUUGCCGACGAUCUUUCUACCAAUAAGCUCCAGCUCUGUAUGCUGGUAGUCGGGACUCGGGACCAUCGCAGAAUUUGGUACCGGAACUCGUGCAGUAAGUCAUCGGCAUCAUAAGCGGUGUCCUUGAGUUGCAUCAGCAAUUCCUUCACGUCCCGUUUCAGGUUCUCAUCUUUGAUCCACAUAUUCUCGGCUGUGCUGAUGAUGGUCUGAAUCUUGAGUGGAGUAGCCUAUAGUUGCGAUCAUCUUCGAUCACCUGCACCCCAAACCGUUCAAUUUACGCUGGCUCCCCAUUAAAGUCUUCUCGAGCAAUCUCAAGGCUGUUGAUAAUAUCAACGACAUUUCAGUAAAGAGCUGAUCCUUCUUCCUCCAAACACAAAGCUCAAAGAGAUAUCCAGGAGAGAGAAAAGACAGGUAGCUUCGAUUAGAGGCUGUAUCUCUUUUCACUGGAACUGUGGAACGAUGAUCCCAUGCAAACCUUAUGAAGGUUUACAAAGAAGGAUCGACGACUUUGAAGGAAUCCAUUGAUCUUGUAGCAUAAGAACUUUGAUCUUGUAAACAAAGAAGGAUCGGGUGGGAAUCAACUUUUCCUUUGACUUUUCA